rnacentral:snoRNA from 1 species
AUCCUAUGAUGAGGGCAAGCCAAGAGUUAUUCUUGCAAGCGCUCCCACGCCUCAGGGAUUGACUCAUCUGACACCUACUAGAAGUUGGUAAUCCUUCCAUGAAGGGC